GUAGUACUCCCUCCGUUCCGAAUUACUUGUCGCAGGUAUGGAUGUAUCUAGAUGUAUUUUAGUUCUAGAUACAUCCAUUUCUGCGACAUGUAAUUUGGAACGGAGGGAGUACAAA
rnacentral:pre_miRNA from 1 species